CUGAAUCUCUACUAAUAAAAGGGAGCUUUUGAGGCUCCGUAGGGCGUCCACAUCAGCGGAAAAAAUUUAUUCCGAAAGAUGACACGUGUCAUAAAAUAUAGUUUUACAUUUUAAUAUUAAUUAUUUUCGAAAAUUGUAAAAAAUAUGUAAACAUACAGCAUUAAAAAAUGGAAAAACUACAUUAAACAUAUGUAAGAUUACUAUUUUUCACUUAAAAAAAAAAGACGGCUUAUCUCCAUAAUGUAACAUUACCGUUUUAUAAAAAAAACAAAAAGCAUUAUAUAUAAUUUCGAAAAUAAUAAAUAUAAGUAAAACAUACAACAUAAAAAUGGAUAUACUACAUUAAAAAUAAAUAUGUUUGACUAUUUGUUCAAGUUCUUCUAUUAAACAUUGCCGUUUUACAUUAAAAAUAGAAAAAUACGUAAAGAUUUAAACAUCUAUCUUAAAAUAUAAAAUAUAGACAUUAACUAAAUAUAAAGUAUAAAAAAAGAGAAAUACUCAUCUCUACUAAUUAAAGGGAGCUUUUGAGGCUCCAUAGGGCGUCCACAUCAGCGGAAAAAAUUUAUCCCGAAAGAUGACACGUGUCAUAAAAUAUAGUUUUACAUUUUAAUAUUAAUUAUUUUCGAAAAUUGUAAAAAAUAUGUAAACAUACAGCAUUAAAAAAUGGAAAAACUACAUUAAACAUAUGUAAGAUUACUAUUUUUCACUUAAAAAAAAAAGACGGCUUAUCUCCAUAAUGUAACAUUACCGUUUUAUAAAAAAAAAACAAAAAACAUUAUAUAUAAUUUCGAAAAUAAUAAAUAUAAGUAAAACAUACAACAUAAAAAUGGAAAUACUACAUUAAACAUAAAUAUGUUUGACUAUUUGUCCAAGUUCUUCUAUUAAACAUUGCCGUUUUACAUUAAAAAUAGAAAAAUACGUAAAGAUUUAAACAUCUAUCUUAAAAUAUAAAAUAUAGACAUUAACUAAAUAUAAAGUAUAAAAAAGAGAAAUACUCAAUAUAUAAAAAAAUAAAUAAUAAGUAAAUAUUAUAAAUAUAUAAAUAUAUGAAUUAUAUAUACAAUAAUAAG
rnacentral:lncRNA from 1 species